CGCAGGGUAGAGUAGUCGGUCCAACUCGUUGGGCUCAUAACCCAAAGAUCGCAGGUUCAAGUCCUGCCCCUGCUACCA
rnacentral:tRNA from 1 species